rnacentral:rRNA from 2 species
CAGAUGGGAGCUUGCUCCCUGAUGUUAGCGGCGGACGGGCUGAGUAACACGUGGGUAACCUGCCUGUAAGACUGGGAUAACUCCGGGAAACCGGGGCUAAUACCGGAUGGUUGUUUGAACCGCAUGGUUCAAACAUAAAAGGUGGCUUCGGCUACCACUUACAGAUGGACCCGCGGCGCAUUAGCUAGUUGGUGAGGUAACGGCUCACCAAGGCAACGAUGCGUAGCCGACCUGAGAGGGUGAUCGGCCACACUGGGACUGAGACACGGCCCAAACUCCUACGGGAGGCAGCAGUAGGGAAUCUUCCGCAAUGGACGAAAGUCUGACGGAGCAACGCCGCGUGAGUGAUGAAGGUUUUCGGAUCGUAAAGCUCUGUUGUUAGGGAAGAACAAGUACCGUUCGAAUAGGGCGGUACCUUGACGGUGCCUAACCAGAAAGCCACGGCUAACUACGUGCCAACAGCCGCGGUAAUACGUAGGUGGCAAGCGUUGUCCGGAAUUAUUGGGCGUAAAGGGCUCGCAGGCGGUUUCUUAAGUCUGAUGUGAAAGCCCCCGGCUCAACCGGGGAGGGUCAUUGGAAACUGGGGAACUUGAGUGCAGAAGAGGAGAGUGGAAUUCCACGUGUAGCGGUGAAAUGCGUACAGAUGUGGAGGAACACCAUG